CAAAAGGGUCCACAAGGGGCAGGCGGGCUCCUGCGAGCUAGUGGUGGGGUUCGGGGUUUUUUUGCCCACCGCCCCCCCCUCCCUUCUGUAUACCGUGACGUCCCAUUUCACUGCACGCUGAGAUUCACCUCCCCGAGAUGGGAUCCUGUGCGCGGUUUCCCCGGGAGUAAGUAAACGCAUAUUGGAUCGUUCUGUUCACCUCUCUGGUAAGAGUGAGAGCAACUCAGCUGCAAAGCUGAUUUUAAAAAUUCCUGUGAAGGAACCUGCUUCCUUCGCCUCCUGCACAGUGUCAUCACCGAUUUCUGACGUUGCGAAGGGUCGUUUUGCAUAUAUAUUAAGUACUGAUUGAAUUGUCACUGGCUGCACUUUGGCAUUUAAUUGCUGUUAACUGGAGAAUGACACUCCUUGCACCUGAUGGAGUUCAGUCUGGUCCACCGAAAAAUGUUAUACCAUGAUAAAAUUUGUUGGUGUUUAAGGUGCUGCAGCAAGACUGUUGUUUUUGUUCUACACCGUUAUGUAUGACAGAACCAAUGUUUGUAUAAAACCAUAACAGAAAGAAAUAAAUAUGAAAAGAACAACAUGUCUGCUGAAUAAAAUAAAUUGUCAGUUCUACUGUCAUCAUUCUCAUUAUUGGAGGUAGCCCCACCAUAUUGCCUUUGGAAGUGCUGGUGGCCUAGGGAGACUAUGGGAUGUAUUAAUAUAAUGAAUGGAAACCAUGUAACAGCGAAAUCAUCCCAUUUCGCUUUACCCUCAAUGACUCGCCUUUAUUGGAGCCAAUGUCCAGAUAACGCUAUGUCCUGAAUUGGGUUGUAUCAUCCCUCCUUUGUGGGCACAGAGCCACCCCCCCCCCCCCCAUGACUAGCUAGUUCCAGCCACACUGCAGCCAGUAGCAACAUCCUAGUGGUCCCGGGCCCUAAGGAAGUUAGAUUAGCUUCAACCAGAGCCAGGGCGUUUCCAACUCUGGCUCCAGCCUGGUGGAACGCUCUGUCUCAUGAGACCAGGGCCCUGUAGGAUCUGAUUUCUUUCCGCAGGGUCUGUAAGACAGAGUUGUUCCUCCUGGCCUUUCCUUUGGAGCCAAUUUGAUUCCCUCCCCCUCUUUCUUUUUUCUUUUUCCUUUCUCCUCCUGUGAUGAGGCUGCAUUUUAAUAUUUUAUUGUUUCAAUAUUUUAAUGUUGUAUUUUAAUUUUGUUUUUAAGUUGUAUUCAUUCAACUUAUUUUUAUUAUUGCUUGUUAGCCGCCCUGAGCCUGGCCUUGGCUGGGGAGGGUGGGGUAUAAAUAAAAAUUAUUAUUAUUAACAUUAUUACUAGCAGUUCCAGUCAGGAAGAGUGCUAGAAUCAGAUCUAAGUACAGCCUCAAUCAACUCACACAUGACCGCAUAUAUAUGUGGCACCAGGAAAUAAAUAAAUACAUUCAACUCCUGCAGAAUGCUGGAGAGUCCUAGUGGCUUGCAAGGAGACUGUCCCUGGAGCCCAAAGAGGGCAUCAGUGAGGGCAAAGGAAGCCCUGAAGAGACUGGAGGCACAGCGCGGCUUUGUUUAGGCUGCUCAGCCUCCUUGCCUAACAGCUGACGUGUGGGG
rnacentral:lncRNA from 1 species